GGAAUAAACAAUAUCUCUGGUAUGAAUAGGUGAACAUGUUUACAAACCAAGGAACAGUUAUUCACUUUAACAACCCUAAAGUUCAGGCAUCUCUGGCAGCAAACACUUUCACCAUUACAGGCCAUGCUGAGACAAAGCAGCUGACAGAAAUGCUACCCACCAUCUUACACCAGCUUGGUGCAGACAGUCAGACUAGUUUAAGGAGACUGGCUGAAGCUCUGCCCAAACACUCUGUGGAUGGAAAAGCACCACUUGCUACUAGAGAGGAUGAGGAUGAUGAGGUUCCAGAUCUUGUGGAGAAUUUUGACGAGGCUCCCAAGAAUGAGGCAAACUGAAGUGAGUCAACUUCUGAAGAAGAUAAAACUUGAAGAAGUUACUGGGAGCUGCUAUUUUAUAUUGUGACUGCUUUUUAAAAUUGUUUUGUUUAUGGAUCUGAUAAAAUCUAGAUCUCUAAUAUUUUUAAGCCC